GACGAACGCUGGCGGCGUGCCUAAUACAUGCAAGUCGAACGCAUUUUCUUUCACCGUAGCUUGCUACACCGAAAGAAAAUGAGUGGCGAACGGGUGAGUAACACGUGGGUAACCUGCCCAUCAGCGGGGGAUAACACUUGGAAACAGGUGCUAAUACCGCAUAAUUCCAUUUACCGCAUGGUAGAUGGGUGAAAGGCGCUUUUGCGUCACUGAUGGAUGGACCUGCGGUGCAUUAGCUAGUUGGUGGGGUAACGGCCUACCAAGGCUGCGAUGCAUAGCCGACCUGAGAGGGUGAUCGGCCACACUGGGACUGAGACACGGCCCAGACUCCUACGGGAGGCAGCAGUAGGGAAUCUUCGGCAAUGGACGCAAGUCUGACCGAGCAACGCCGCGUGAGUGAAGAAGGUUUUCGGAUCGUAAAACUCUGUUGUUAGAGAAGAACAAGGAUGAGAGUGGAAAGUUCAUCCCUUGACGGUAUCUAACCAGAAAGCCACGGCUAACUACGUG
rnacentral:rRNA from 1 species